AUUACGAAAAUUUGAUACUUUAUACACAUGUUUAAACAAUAAAAUGUGUGUUUCUCUUACUAUGUUUAUAUUUAAUUAAAUUCUUUAGAAGUAUGCUGCAAGAGUAAAGCAUAUAUACUACAAGUAAAUGAAUAUUUGUUCAUUUGUUUUCAUUGUUCGAAUAUUUGUUCAUAGAUAGAUUGGUUUUGAAGACACCAAUACUAACAUAUCUAACCAUAAUGGUAUUUGACAAUAAUGCAUUUUAAGUUAUUGUCGCUUAUUCAUAAUCAAAAACCAUGAAUAUCUUUUAAUUAUUGCUAUAAAUAAUUGGCAAAUAAUUUAAUAAUGACAAGUAUAAAGUAAAAAUGGACAAAAGUGCAAUAGUUUUCGGAAUAUGAAAUGGACGAAGUCUAUAUUCGGUUAUGGAGGUAUUAGUUAAAAAGAAAGUCCUGUUUGUUCACUUACAUUCACUGAAAGGUCAAGACUAAAUAUUAAAACGUGUGUAACCAGUUAAUUUGUCAUAAAUAGUUUGCAAACCGACAUACACGCCUACUAAACGCAAGCUCGAACGUCUUCAUAUUAUCGGUGGUGCAAAUUAAAUGAGCUGGAAAUACUCCCACGGUGCAGCUCUGGCUUUUGUGUUUUGUACACACUGAGAUAUAAAGCCAUAUCAUACAUUCAUGUCAUUCAAAUUCAGCCACUCAGAGAGAUGGAAAGGAUUGCAAAGCUGAGUUUUACUUUCAGUUUUACUCUCACCUGACUUAUGCAGAUACAGUAACCUACUUGUUCAAGAAAAAAGGCCAAAAAAUUCCAACAUGGAGCCUUACUAAAUCAACUUGGUGUAAUUUGACAAUUAAAAUUCUUCAGAAUUCGACGGUGGUUGUACCAUGCAGCAGUCAUACUACGAAGUGUCUCAGAGAUUUCUUUUUCUAAAUUCUGCAAUAUUGAGGUACAGUUUAGCGCAAAGAGGAUUAAUCUUCUGACAGUUAGAAGUAAAUGUUCUUUUAAAUUAACAUUAACCGUUCCUGCAUUUUGAUUGAUUAUAGAGUGAAUAUGUUUCCAUAUUAAAUGUUGUCUUUUAUGUGUAAAAUUUCACAUGCUAUAAAUGGUUACAAAUACAUGAACGCACAUUUUGUUUCUUAAUAUAUGCACGUUUUGAUUCCAAUAAUUAAACACUCAAGCGUAUUAAAUUUGUUUCCUGUUGUUUGUUUCUAAACAAUUAGUAGUAUGUAUUCGUGUUGAUAGUUACCAUGUCAAUUCAGAAAAUGAGUAAAUUUUUAAACAGUUACCAUGGUAGCCAGAGUCUAGUGUUCUAGGGAAACUGUCAAUGUUGUCUUAAAUUUAUUUACCCUUAAAAUUUGAUGACAAUGUCAUUCUUAUAUUUAAUUGUUAAGAAUUGCUUAGUGGUUUUUAACAAUUGUCAGGAAAAUCAAUCCAAGAUAUACUUACAGAAUUUUCCUGUUUAACAUAAAAUGAUGUUUCUUAGCAUUUUUUAUUUUUAUUGAAUGGUUACCAUAGCAACUAAUUUUUUGUUUGCCUUAAACCUUCCUAUUUAUAAUACUAUUCAUUGUGAAAAUGCAAAUGUUCAUCAGUGAAUGUAAGAAAAUAAAUGUUCUGUAACUUUUACUUUAUUGUUAGCUCAUGCUUCAAAAUAUGCGGCAUAUUUAAAAUUUCCUAAAAAUAACAAAAAUAAUUAUCGUGAAAUAUUCUGCUUAAAACAUUAUUUUAACUCUGAUUUUUAGAAAUUUGUAUUAAAUUUAUAGAAAAUAAAGAAAACAUUUUGUUUACAUUUCUUAUUUCAUUUAAAUUCAGAGGUUGUGAAUUUGACCUAUUUGGCAGAAAAAAAAAAUAAAAAUGUAAAAUUAAAAUAGCCAUAAUUCUGUCAAACUAUGAUGGAUUUUUAAAAGAUAUGCAUAUUUGAGUUUGUAAUGACCAAACCUUUAAAAUGGUAUAUCACUUGACUAUACCACAUGAAAUUAUUUAUUUACGUUGUUAUUGCUAUCAAUAGUUUAUAUAGUGAAUAAUAUUUGAUAUUGUUUUCCUGUACGUUGAAUUAACAAUGAAUAAUGUUUUUAUUGCAACAACCAGAUUACUUAUUGCAAUGAGUUAUUUGUGACUGUCUAUAUGUGCAUUAAUAUAACCAUUUUUAAGAAUCUAUUAAAUCAAUUACAUAAUGGUUGAACUUUCGGACAGCCUUAAAACAAAUGCCUAUUUGUAACAAUAAUACUUUAAUAAAGUCCUAUAGACUUUCGAACGUCAGUUUAUAUACAUAUUUUCCAUAUCAUUUGAUUUUCAUGGGUUUGUAGUCACUGUAAGGAUUUUUCAGAACAACUUGCAACAAAUUGCGCUUCAACCAAAACAAAAUGAUGAAAAUAAUAACUAAAUUGCAAAGCGGAAAACGUGAAAAAAAUAUAUAUAAUAAAGUCAGAAAAAAUC